UUUAAAAAGCUUCUAAAACCCUUUCCCUCUCUCUCUCUCUCUCUCUCAGUAGCCAUAGUAGAAGUAGAAGAAGCAAUGGCGACCGAUCAAGACAUGAGCGGUUGGACCGAUCUGCUUCACUCUUCCACCAAGCUACUCGAACAAGCGGCGCCUUCCGCUCAGUUCCCUCCUCUUCAGAGAAACUUAGAUCAGUUAGAGGCAUUAUCAAAGAAGCUCAAAGCUAAAACCCUGCGAACUGAGGCUCCUUCUCAAUCUAUUGCUGCCACAAGGCUACUUGCGCGUGAGGGAAUAAAUGCGGAGCAACUUGCACGGGAUCUGAAGUCUUUUGAAUUGAAGACAACGUUUGAGGAUGUUUUUCCUGCUGAGGCAACAAGUGUCGAAGAGUAUUUGCAGCAGGUUCAUGAGAUGGCAAUGGUCUCUGCCAUUCAGGAAUCUCAGAAGGAUAACCUCAGAAGCUAUAAUGAUUACAUGUUGAAAGUUUUGGAGGAGGAUUGGCAAAAAGAAAAACGUGAUUUUCUACAGAGUUUAAGCCGAAUUUCAACGUUACCCAGGACUAACAUGAUCGAUAACAGCACUGGGGCUACUCAUCCAGGUCAAAUGGUGUCCAUUGCAUCUAGCCCUCAACGUUCAUCUGGUCCAUCUAGCAUGGACCUUGUACCUCUAGCUAACAAGCCUAUUAUUGAGAAAAAGGCAUCAGUCUAUGCUGUAGUUGUGAAGAAUUUAAAUAAUGCAAGGGAGCGUGGCUUACCAUUUAAGCCUGCUACAGCUUUCAAGGGUGCUUAUGAAAGUUUGGGUCUUGAGGGAUCCAGUGGAAAAUCCGUUAACUUGCAGAAGAUAUGGCACCUCAUUCAGAUGCUAAUGGGUGAAGAUGCAACUGUGCAACACAAUGUAUCAAAAAAGAUGUCACCAGUCAUUGGUGCAAGGCGCCACCUAGAAUGGGGGCAUGAGAAGUAUAUCAUGGAUACAAUACAAAGUCAUCCUGCACAGGCUGCUCUUGGUGGGGUGGUUGGAAAUUUGGAAAGAGUUCGCGCCUUUCUUCGGAUUCGUUUAAGGGAUUAUGGAGUUCUGGAUUUUGAUGCAGGCGAUGCUCGUAGACAACCUCCUGUUGAUACCACCUGGCAGCAGAUAUAUUUUUGCUUGAGAACUGGGUAUUAUGAUGAAGCAAGAAAGGUUGCUAUGUCAUCCCGUGCUUCACACCAAUUUGCUCCCCUGCUUACAGAGUGGAUAAAUACUAGAGGUAUGGUGCCCGCUGAGACUGCAGCUGCCGCCUCAGAAGAAUGCGAAAAAAUGUUAAGAAUGGGUGAUAGGGUGGGCCGAGCUGCAUAUGACAAGAAAAAGUUGUUGCUCUAUGCUAUGAUAUCUGGUUCUCGCAGGCAAAUUGACCGCCUGCUUAGAGAUCUACCAAAUUUGUUCAAUACUAUAGAGGAUUUCUUAUGGUUCAAACUGUCUGCUGUACGGGACUGCCCGAGUGGGGGCUCAUCUGUUGUUCUGAAUGAGGGGUUGGUACCAUACAGUUUGGAUGAUUUGCAGGUCUACCUGAACAAAUUUGAUCCAUCAUAUUAUACAAAAAAUGGAAAGGACCCUCUGGUAUACCCUUAUGUUUUGCUUUUAAGCAUCCAGUUGCUACCAGCUGUCUUAUACUUGUCUAAGGAAACAGGAGGUGGAGGAUAUAACAUUGAUGCUGCCCACAUGUCAAUUGUGUUAGCAGACCAUGGGGUCCUUUCUGAAGGUAUUAGUGCUGGGCAAAAACUGGGAGUGAUGGAUGCUUAUGCAGAGGCAUCUAGCAUGAUUAGGCAGUAUGGAUCUAUGUACUUACGAAGUGGUGAUCUAUCAACAGCAUUAGAAUAUUAUGCACAAGCUGCUGCUACUGUGGGUGGUGGACAGUUGUCAUGGACUGGAAGAGGUAAUGUGGAUCAGCAAAGGCAGAGAAGCUUGAUGUUAAAGCAACUCCUUACUGAGCUGUUGUUACGGGAUGGUGGGAUCUAUCUCUUACUUGGUUCAAGAGGUACCGGAGAAGAAGGUGACUUAGGAAGGUUUUUGACUGAUGCGAAAGCAAGACAUCAAUUUCUGCUUGAAGCUGCUUGUCAGUGUCAGGAAGCUGGGCUUUAUGACAAAUCAAUAGAAAUUCAGAAGAGAGUUGGGGCAUUUUCAAUGGCACUGGAUACUAUCAAUAAGUGCCUCUCUGAAGCAAUAUGCGCCCUCUCACGUGGUAGAUUAGAUGGUGAGAGCCAGACUGCUGGCCUCAUUCAUUCAGGCAAUGAAAUACUGGAGACAUACAGAUAUUAUCCUGAAGUCAGUCCUCAAGAGAGAGAGCAUGUUUUAGCGCAACAAACCGUGUUAAGACAACUUGAGGCAAUAUUGUCAAUCCACAAGUUGGCAAGAUUGGGCCAUCAUCUAGAUGCUUUGAGGGAGGUUGCUAAACUUCCAUUUCUUCCAUUAGAUCCACGAGCACCGGAUGCUACCAUUGAUGUGUUCCAGAAUUUAUCACCUCAUGUUCAAGAUUGUGUUCCAGACCUUCUGAAGGUUGCUCUUACUUGCCUGGACAAUGUAACGGAUUCUGAUGGAUCACUUCGUGCCUUGAGGGCUAAGAUUGCAAGCUUUAUUGCUAAUAACUUGAAAAGGAAUUGGCCUCGCGAUUUGUACGAAAAGGUUGCCCGAAGCUUGUGAAGCAUACAACAGAUGUCAGAUUUAGAUGCCUCAUCUGGCUGCGCAAAUGUAACAGGGUUAUGUUGUGUUGAGGUAUCAAGUAUGUAGCUUUUCUGUAAAAAAAAAGCCAUCAAGAUAGGCAGUCUUACCAUACUAACCAAUGUGGCUGGAGCGACUUCCAUUGGUUUUAUGAGGUUACCAUGGUUAUUUAUAAAUGAAAAACAAAUAAAUGGCUAGAUAUUUUGUGAAUC